UCCUAUCGUAUGAUCAUUAAAUGUGAGACUAUAAAAUACGCCCGGCAGUAGAUAACAUAUGUAUCAUUCCUGCAACGAUUGUGAGACAGUCAUAACGGUGCGAUCAGGCAAUGAAGGCGACAACGCUGUUCGUGUUUUCUGCAUUUCUUCUUGUGUUCCUGGUUUUGAACGAAGCGGACGGCCACCGGAGACGGUGUCCCCGUAACUCAGAGUAUAGCAGCUGCGGUACUGCGUGCCCCGAAGUGUGUGGGGAACUUCCACCGACGCGUUGCAAUGCGGUUUGCGUGAGUGGAUGCUUUUGUAUCGACGACUACAUCUUGGAUCCGUCCAGGCGCCGUUGCAUUCUCAGAGACGUGUGUCCUCUUCUCCUUAGAUGAAUGUGCGUGUGUGCGCACACCCCCGGCGCACCACUCAGGCACUUUCUAACAACCUACACAUGUUGUAUUACCGGAAUAAAUAGUGUGGCAACCACAAACGUACAUUUUCAA